UACAUGGGGUGCAAACGUUGCUCGGAAUCACUGGGCGUAAAGCGCACGUAGGCGGAUUGCUAAGUCAGGGGUGAAAUCCUGGAGCUCAACUCCAGAACUGCCUUUGAUACUGGCGACCUUGAGUCCGGGAGAGGUGAGUGGAACUGCGAGUGUAGAGGUGAAAUUCGUAGAUAUUCGCAAGAACACCAGUGGCGAAGGCGGCUCACUGGCCCGGUACUGACGCUGAGGUGCGAAAGCGUGGGGAGCAAACAGG
rnacentral:rRNA from 1 species